rnacentral:ribozyme from 1 species
GCCAAAGCCCAGUAAAAAGAAAAAACAAAAGAAGACAAAGACUGCCGAAUCGUUGUCCGAGCUUACGUUUUUAUCUGGCGUGAAG